CUGGCGAGCGCUGGGCCCGCCUCCUGGCGCUUGCGCACUGGAGGAAAGCGAGAGGAGGGACCAGUCCGCACCUUCAACGCUUUGCUGAGAAAUCUCCGCUAAUUGUUCAGGUGCGUCACUCACAAGGUCUGCUUUCCACACGACUACAGGACACGAGUCAGCCAAGUUCUUUGCCGGCCUACCGCGAGGAGAGGCUCACCUGUCCUCCAGCUUCCAAUACCAUGCUCGUCAUUUCCUUCUGAGACUUCAGCAGACAUGCCCGUAACGUCCGUGUUUAUCACCAUUCUGCUAAUGACGAGCUACCCCUUCUCGGAGGUGACAGAAUCCUUCUCUCCCCACGCUCUUCAUUUCCUUCGGAGCCCUCACCCGAUCGCCUUUAAAGUCUCUAUUUUUACUAAUAGUCUCUUCAGGGGAGUCUAGGCUGUAUCUCUCAUGCAGCUCAAAAUUCUUCCAACUUCUACCCUCGCCUAAUUCCAAAGCCACGUCCACACUUGGAGGUAUUUGGCACAGCAGCACUCGGCUUCCCAGGACCAAAAUCUGUAUUAGUUUUCUAGGGCGGCCGUAACAGAUUACCAUAAACCGGGCUGCUUAAAAUGAGAGAAACGGAUUCUCUUACAGUCCUGGAGGUCAGAAGUGCAAAGUCAAGGGUCUGUAGGACUGCACUCCCUCUGCUAGUUCUGGUGGCUCCCUGUGUCCCUUGGCUGGUGGCUGCUUUGCUCCGGUCUCUGCCUCCACUGUCACGUGACCUUCUCCUCUUUCCACGUGUCUCCUCCGUGCUUCUUAUAAGGACACUUGCCAUUGGAUUUAGGGCCCAUCUGGAUAAUCCAGGAUGAUCUCAUCUUGGGAUCCUUAAUUACACAGCCACCACCUUUCCUUCCUGAUUCGACUACCAAAUCAGUAUUGCAUAAUAUUAUAUAAUUAUUGUAUAAUAUUGUAUACGAUAUUGUAUAAUAGAGUUGUAUACCCAAUAUUAUAUAGCUGUAUAAUCUAGUAUGUACCUAUGCACAUGUAUCAUGUAAGUGCCUAACAUUAAGCUUUUGAUUGCUGAGGCGUCCAUUUCAAAAGACACCCAUUCCAGGGGCGCCCGAGUGGCUCAGUCAGUGGAGUGUCUGACUUUGGAUUUCGGCUCAGGUCCUGAUCUGUUUGUGGGAUCAAGCCCUGCGUUGGGGUCUGUGCUGACAGCAUGGAGCCUGCUUGGGGUUCUCUCUCUUUCUCUCUCUCUGCUCCCCACCCCUGUCCUCUCUCUCUGUCUCUCUCUCUACUUGUGAUCUCUACCCUUCCUGACCUGUGAGUAAUAAAUCUUGUUCCCUGAAGUUUCCUGAUGGAUGUCGCUGAGGGGCAUCCUGCAAUCAUAAUAAGAACCACAAGGGCAGCACGAGCCACAACAUUGGCUCUGCUCGGGGAAAUGUCUGGGGGGAGGGCUCAGGUGAGUAUCCCAGGCAGUCUCUGCUGAGGGCAUCACUACCCACGGUCUGGAGCAGACACAGCACACAGACUUAGGUAUUAUAUGUAGUAACGUGAAACAUUUUUCAAUUCUUCUGCGGGCACUAGGUGGGUCCUCGCAAGCUGAAGAAUCGUGUCUUUCUUCGGUCCUAGAACAGUUUCUUGAUUAUUUCUUUGACUGUUUCUUCCACAUUAUUUAUGAUCUCUCUUUCAAAAGCUCCCAUUUCU